rnacentral:lncRNA from 1 species
GGCGGGGCCUUCGUCUCUCCUGCCAGCCUCAGCUGGGUCGUCUUCUGUGCUCGGCGUGCUUUGCUCGGGGAAGCUCAGGUGGCCGCCACAGCCUCUUGCCCUCUGACCUGCAGGUAUCAGGAGAUCCAUAGCUAAGCAGCCUGGACACCCGGGAAGCUGGGAAAUGGUGUGAUUUGUCCAGAUAAUCUCACCUGAGAAGGAAUCCCAGAGAAGAAGGAAGAAGAGGAAGAAAUGGCUGGUUCUCAGGGACUGUUGAUAUUCAGGGAUGUGGCCAUAGAAUUCUCUCCGGAGGAGUGGAGCUAUCUGGACCCUGCUCAGCAGAAUCUGUAUAGGGACGUGAUGUUAGAAAACUACAGAAACCUGGUCUCCCUGGGUAUUGCUGUCUCUAAGCCAGACCUGAUCACCUGUCUAGAGCAAAGGAAUGAGCCCU